rnacentral:rRNA from 1 species
GACGAACGCUGGCGGCGUGCCUAAUACAUGCAAGUAGAACGCUGAAGGAGGAGCUUGCUCUUCUGGAUGAGUUGCGAACGGGUGAGUAACGCGUAGGUAACCUGCCUGGUAGCGGGGGAUAACUAUUGGAAACGAUAGCUAAUACCGCAUAAGAGUAGAUGUUGCAUGACAUUUACUUAAAAGGUGCAAUUGCAUCACUACCAGAUGGACCUGCGUUGUAUUAGCUAGUUGGUGGGGUAACGGCUUACCAAGGCGACGUUACAUAGCCGACCUGAGAGGGUGAUCGGCCACACUGGGACUGAGACACGGCCCAGACUCCUACGGGAGGCAGCAGUAGGGAAUCUUCGGCAAUAGACGGAAGUCUGACCGAGCAACGCCGCGUGAGUGAAGAAGGUUUUCGGAUCGUAAAGCUCUGUUGUAAGAGAAGAACGAGUGUGAGAGUGGAAAGUUCACACUGUGACGGUAUCUUACCAGAAAGGGACGGCUAACUACGUG